AUGGGCCAUCAUGGGGAAAGGACACACUCUGUCUGUGGCUUGGUAACAGAGGCAGCAGCAGAAGCACGGUGCACGCAGAUUCAGGUAUAUGAGGAAGAAAGAAUGAAGACAGCACUAUCAACCUAGAAUUUUACUUGGAAGAUCUGAGAGAAAACAAUCCUUCAUCUUCUGGGACUUGAGUUCUCUCAUAGCCUUGCUGGAAAAGAUCUUUAAACCAAGUGCUUCUGUCUCUACUGAAAUCUCAGAGGGAGAAGAAAAGGAAGAAGAUGAGAGUGCAUUAUGUUUUGAUUGUAGUUCCACAUAAAAGGGCAUUUAUAGCCCAAGCUUCUCUGUUUUGCAGGCUCCAAAUCCCCACAAAUUCAGGGCAGUGUUCUUGAAUUUGCCUACUUAAUGACAAAUACAUAAACUUACUUUGAGAUAAAUUGUCAAGGAAGCCCAUGAAAGCUGGAAGAAGGAACUGGACAAGAGAAGAACUUAAGCUAAUAAUUAUUUGUCUGUUUUAAUUUAAAGUCUUUAAUUCUCCUCCCAGUCGAUUUAUGCACUUCGGAGACUGUGUAUUAUAUACCUAUUUUAAAAAUAAAAUAACCAAGAAACAUAAUUUCCUUUAAUGU
rnacentral:lncRNA from 1 species